GGAUGUAGCUCAGUGGUAAAGCACUUGCUUAGAAAGUCCAAUGUCCUGGGUUCAAUUCCCAGCACCA
rnacentral:tRNA from 1 species